GAUAGUAACAUUCACUUGCUCCAAAGUUUACUGGGUUUAUUCCUUGUGUAGCUCAGAACAAAGGAGCACAUUCCCAAUUUCUCUCAAGUACUAAUUAGGUUUUGAGUAGUAAGUUUGUUUAGUAUUUUUCAGAAUGUUUGUUGGUCAAUGUGGGACACGACUCAGUCAUUAUGUAAAGAGGUACUGAGCUGAAGGUGGUGCUACAAUGCAAGGGGCAUCCGACUUCACUGAUGAUUAUAGCUGUCCUCCAAACAGCCACAAGGGGGAGACAGAAUAUGACCAUAGCAACACAGCAUACUGUACUUUACACCAGUGUUUCUCAGCUGGUGGGUCGCGACCCAAAAGUGGGUCGCGGGGCCGUUUUUGGUGGGUCGCGAGCCUUUUUCUAAAAAGAGAGAAAAAUAAAGAUAAUCCAAUUUAGUGGCGAGUCAUUGUAGUUCCCCUCCGCACCCGCAGGGGGUCGUCGUGUCAGCAGCGACCGGUGAGGACACUCGUAUUACUGUAGAAGAAACUGCAUGUUUUCAUAGCAACAGCAGCAUGGCUAAACGCAAGUACGACAGCGAGUACAUUAAAUAUGGAUUUUCCUACAUCGAAGACAAAGGAGUCCAAAAGCACGCAUCUGAAUAAACUUUUCGAGCGGUUUAGCGACUACUUUCCCGAUAAACAACCCGAGGACGACUGGGUGCGCGACCCGUUUGGAAUAAACAUGGAAAGCAUCACGUUGCCUAGCAGCGAUGAAUGUCACCUGGUGGAGCUAUCAUUGACCGCACUCUCAGAAAGAAAUUCACAGAGGAUUACCACAGACCUGACUGUGAACACCGUUGACACCCACCUGAGGGAGACGCUGCCUAAGAUCUCAAGGCUGCUUGGUCGUGGUCUUUCUGGCACGUACUCUUCCAAGAUGAGCCGGGAAGUUAAACACUGAUGGAAUGACACCAGGUCUAAGCCGACAAACUUCCAAUUCCUCCUCAACCCAUAGUCUCUGGGAAACCUACAUGGAGUAAGAAAAGUAGACAGAGAAGUAAUUAAGUCUGUACACAACAUAUUAAAAAGAAAUCAUGCUAAUAAAUUAAGUACAAAGAACCGAAUUCGCCAAUAUACUGGAGACCAGAGCUAUUUAAUUUGAUAAGUAUAACCUUGUUUAGUAAUAUUUCAAUUAUUUGAGAGCAGUCCUAAAGAACUGCCUGUAAUCCCAAUCAUAAAAUUGGUUUGGAAGAAGAACAUAGAUGGUAAUCUGGAUAUACAUGAGUUAGGCUUUAUAAGUACUAUUGGUUGUAUUGGUGGUAGUAAUAGCAAUGUGACUACUACUAGUAGUGGUAGUACAUUAACUACUGCUGCUGAUACUGGCACUGCUACUACAAUUUGUAAUAUUAUUACAAAUGCUGAUACUACUUCUACGACUGUAACAGCUGUUUAUACUACUACUGCUGCUUGUACUUUUAGUAUUACUACUACUGCUUGUACAACUAUACUACAGCUACUAUUAAUCGUCUGGUAUUUGGUUGUCAAGCUGUUAGCUCGCCUUAGCGUUUUGCUAGUGGCUAACUAGUUAGCUCUCAUAGACUGGAAGCUCUCAACAAGAUUUCAUAAUGAAAAAAGAGCCAAAAACUAUUCUUACCUAUGAAAAGUCAUUCCAAGUUUCCUUGUCUCAAUCGUACGACGUAGUGUGUAAUUGUAUGCAGCACAGUGAGACGGCAUACUUGUUUCUGUUUUCACGCCGUCUACAUCAACGGAAUGCACUGAAACUUUGCCCCACUAGCUUAGCCUCGCUGUAGCCGCAGCUGAAGGGGGCGUGUCCUAUCUACUCAUUCAUAUCUAUUAGAACAACUGUGGCUGUACAUAAGGACGCCUGUCAAUGACGUUGAUUAGCUGCGUAAAUACCAUUAUAUACAGUCUAUGGUAAAUACGUAUGUGAAUCGCAUCAUUGGCUGCAGCAGCCAGUCACUGGUCAGUCACUGACUCACAUUGAAAAAUACCACAGAAUGAAUUGUUACGUGUUUAUUUUAUUUACAAUUUAGGUUGGAUUUUUUUUUUGUGCGCAGCGCAGAUUUUCUGUGCGUGGAGACCGUGUCAGCAGUGCGCAAUUGCACACGCGCGCAGCUUAGAGGGAACGGUGGAUGAGACCGUUUUUUUUUCUUUUUUAUCAAACCAGAUCCUCACAUUUGAUAUUCUCUGCAGUUGAGCUGACAGCAUGUCCCUAAUUGGGUUCCACAUCAAUGCCACAGACGCUGUUGGGUAAAUGAGUCUCCCCCGCUCUCUAAUCUCUAUAGAAAGGGAAAAUAGGAGUGAGGGUACCUGUUCCCCCGCCUCUGUCUCCUCUCUUUUCUCAUGUUAAUGAGGGUGCGGUCCUCAAUCCCGGGCACCAUCUGCCCUUCCUCAGGGUUUGGGUCCCAAGCUCUCCAGACGUGUCCAAUUGUUUGUGUGUGUCCAAGCAGAAAGUGGUGAGUACACACGGUUCUUGGUGCCCAAUAGGGUCCUCCAUCAAGAGCACGAGCCUGCUGUUCAUUAGCCUACAUGUGACAGAGGGAGGGGACUGCUCGCGUGGCCCUGUGUUCAGGAACAUCAGGGGCCAACCACCGUUUGUUCUGUGUGUUUUUAUUUCAUAUGUGAUGUCACUGUAAGUAACCGUUGGCUGAGGGGUGCUGCGACAGGUCAACAUGCUUUUAAAAGUGUGUUUAUCGUAAGCACAUUAUAUCACAGAUAGUGUUGCUGGUUGGCUUUUGAUGGAAAAGCAACGCUUAAUUCAUUCAAGUUUUGUUAAAAUAUAAUCAUAAUGUGUGGUGGAUAGGUGGACAAAGGAAAAGAGUUUAUGUUAAACUUGAAUGAAACAGCAGUACACAAAAAUAAAAUUGUACAAGCACACAAACAGUGAAAAACAAGAUGUCUAUCAGUGUAAUAAGAGAAAAAAGUAGUUUUCAGGGGUCAUAUCCUUCAGUUUAUUGUUCCUACUCUGAACCAGAGGAAGUGGAUGUGGGGCCUUUCUUGAGCUAAUUAGUAAAGCUUUGGUGACAUGCAUCUUCCCCACUGAGCUUGGUCAAAAUUGUGUGUCUGAGAUAUGACAGAUGGAUGAAUGAAUUAAAGAAUGGAGACCAAACUGCCCUUUCUCAAGUUCAUUAUUGUGGGGGGACAAUAAAAUGACAGAUGAAAAUGUCAUCUGAAAUUUCGGGAAGAAUAAUUGCAAACGUGCCAUGAUAACCUUUGAUAUUAUUAUUCUGAAGAAACUGAAAGAUUGAGAGUUAAAUCAAAGUGGCAAAUAGUCAAAGUCAGAUUAGGUAAAUUAGGUUCAAAAUAUGCUCCCUAGGACCUGUGAGCACAUGCUGUUGAAUUUUAACUAAAACCAAAAGUGUUUUGCCUUCACACAAUACCCCACAAGGACACUUGAAAAUACCCCUUGUUUGCAAUUUCAUGAAAAAGUGCUCAUCUCAACUUGUGCAGCUGAGGUGUGUGCACUCUUUCUGACUCAUCUGGGAAUCCUCAUGUGAACCGACAAGGUACCAGUUAAGCGACGCAACAUUGUCAAGCAGAUUACGACUUUCCAUCGAGCCUGCCCUCUUCAUUUUCAAAGCUACAUGCUGCUGGCUGCAUUGAGAUUAGUUAUUGAACUGUCCAAGCAAAGGGAAACAAGGCCGCUUCAGAGCCACAGUACACAAUAAGCCAGCUGUCAGUGGGAGGGGUUUGCUCAGACCAGUGUUGUCAUGGAUAGUACUUUUGUGUUGUGUUGCCCUUUGAGAGCUGAUAGGUGCUACUAUUCGAAGCUGCCAUGCACUGAUUAAUAUUGACACAAGGCUUGAUUGAGGACAGACAAGUGAGCAGAGUUAAAGAGUACAGCAGGGUUUAUUUAACAUAGAAAUGUCAGUAAAAGGUGAAAGGAAAAUGGAUAGUCUGUGCUUUGUGAAUAUGGAGGAGGGGAGACGUGUAAAGUGUAUGUUCAUCCAGAAUUGGUAAAAUUAGGCUAAAGUAAUUCACCACAAACAAGACAAGAAAGUACAGGCUGAUUUGAGGCAUUGUCCAGGAAACAUUCAUGUUCAAAGAUGUUGAAUUGUGCUACAUGUUGUACAGACAUUGCUGCUGAUUACUGGCUCGGCCUAUCCUUUUAAUACUCAUGUUACAACUGAAUAAUAGAGCUUAUGUUUCUAAGCACACACAAACAAAACCCUUCUCACUAAUCCCCAGAGGUCACUGAUUUGCCUCCUCACACCUGUUUUACAUUCAGAAAUGUGUUCCUGAGCAUCUUCUUCAAAAGCAGAGCUGGUGUCCUUGCAGAGCAUUUUAGAGUGAUUUCACUUUGCUAUACUGCAUUUAAACAUGUGUUGUUUUGCUGCACUAAUAGUGACAUAAUAUAGAACCAGGGAUGUUUAGGUGUAUAAUUGUUAUUCACAGUCUUGCAUAUAUCAACGCGGAUGACAUUUUAGAACUGCAUGAUAAACAGAUCCAUACCAACAUGCCAUAUUAUUAGAUGUUAAUAUGACCUUUAGGCAGUUCAUUUGUAUGAUUUAUUUAGUAAUUGCUUAGAACAUUUCAUCAGCCUGUCGUAUUUUCACACUCAGUUUGCUAAACAUCAUAUUUACAUUUGCUAACCUCCACUGACUUUGUUUCACACCAUUAUAGCAUCAAACAGAUGGGAGCUGCCUCGUUUUAAAGUCCAAGAUAAUUUAAGUGUAAGAUGGAUUUGUAUAUUGUAGAUUCCACUGUCACACAAAUGCCAUAAUAAAAAUCCCCAAAUCCCCUGUAAGACCAGAUUUACCAGACUGUGUUAGAGUCCAGAGGUUAUAGCAUGUUGAAUGGUAAAAGUUGCACUGUAAUGGCCAAAAUACAAGCCAAAUGUUCCACGGCAGGAUGAGACUAUGUAACAGUUAUGAAAUGUGUUUCUGUAAUUUUGGUUAGAUUGAAUAAUUUCCGUGGACAGCUGAGUAAAUAGAUAAACUAGGAAAUGUGUGUAUUUUUUCAGGAUGAUACUACUACUCUGAGUGCAAAAUAAAUAUGUAAUGGUAA